rnacentral:rRNA from 1 species
UACGUAGGCAGCGAGCGUUGUUCGGAGUUACUGGGCGUAAAGGGUGUGUAGGCGGUUCUUUAAGUUUGGUGUGAAAUCUCCCGGCUCAACCGGGAGGGUGCGCCGAAUACUGAGGGACUAGAGUAUGGGAUGGGAAAGUGGAAUUCCUGGUGUAGCGGUGAAAUGCGUAGAUAUCAGGAGGAACACCUGCGGUGUAGACGGCUUUCUGGACCAUUGUUGACGCUGAGACACGAAAGCGUGGGUAGCAAACAGG